GGACUACCGGGGUAUCUAAUCCUGUUCGCUCCCCACGCUUUCGCUCCUCAGCGUCAGGUAAGGCCCAGAGAACCGCCUUCGCCACCGGUGUUCCUCCUGAUAUCUGCGCAUUUCACCGCUACACCAGGAAUUCCGUUCUCCCCUACCUACCUCUAGCCAGCCCGUAUCGAAUGCAGACCUGGAGUUAAGCCCCAAGCUUUCACACCCGACGUGACAAGCCACCUACGAGCUCUUUACGCCCAAUAAUUCCGGACAACGCUUGCGCCCUACGUAUUACCGCGGCUGCUGGCAC
rnacentral:rRNA from 1 species